GACGAACGCUGGCGGCGUGCCUAACACAUGCAAGUCGUACGGGACCGGGGGCAACUCCGGUUCAGUGGCAGACGGGUGCGUAACACGUGAGGAACUUGUCCGGUGGCGGGGAUAGCCGGCCCAACGGCCGGGUAAUACCGCAUACGCUCGUUCGGGGGCAUCCCUGGGCGAGGAAAGCAGCCGCAAGGUUGCGCCGACGGAGGGCCUCGCGACCUAUCAGCUUGUUGGCGGGGUAACGGCCCACCAAGGCGACGACGGGUAGCUGGUCUGAGAGGAUGAUCAGCCACAUUGGGACUGAGACACGGCCCAGACUCCUACGGGAGGCAGCAGUGGGGAAUAUUGCGCAAUGGCCGCAAGGCUGACGCAGCGACGCCGCGUGUGGGUA
rnacentral:rRNA from 1 species